rnacentral:rRNA from 1 species
GUCCCUAUCCGUCGCGGGCGUAGGAAAUUUGAGAGGAUCUGCUCCUAGUACGAGAGGACCAGAGUGGACUUACCGCUGGUGUACCAGUUGUCUUGCCAAAGGCAUCGCUGGGUAGCUAUGUAGGGAAGGGAUAAACGCUGAAAGCAUCUAAGUGUGAAACCCACCUCAAGAUGAGAUUUCCCAUGAUUAUAUAUCAGUAAGAGCCCUGAGAGAUGAUCAGGUAGAUAGGUUAGAAGUGGAAGUGUGGCGACACAUGUAGCGGACUAAUACUAAUAGCUCGAGGACUUAUCCAA